GCGAGUGAAGCGGCAAAAGCUCAAAUUUGAAAUCUGGUACCUUCGGUGCCCGAGUUGUAAUUUGGAGAGGGCAACUUUGGGGCCGUUCCUUGUCUAUGUUCCUUGGAACAGGACGUCAUAGAGGGUGAGAAUCCCGUGUGGCGAGGAGUGCGGUUCUUUGUAAAGUGCCUUCGAAGAGUCGAGUUGUUUGGGAAUGCAGCUCUAAGUGGGUGGUAAAUUCCAUCUAAAGCUAAAUAUUGGCGAGAGACCGAUAGCGAACAAGUACAGUGAUGGAAAGAUGAAAAGAACUUUGAAAAGAGAGUGAAAAAGUACGUGAAAUUGUUGAAAGGGAAGGGCAUUUGAUCAGACAUGGUGUUUUGUGCCCUCUGCUCCUUGUGGGUAGGGGAAUCUCGCAUUUCACUGGGCCAGCAUCAGUUUUGGUGGCAGGAUAAAUCCAUAGGAAUGUAGCUUGCCUCGGUAAGUAUUAUAGCCUGUGGGAAUACUGCCAGCUGGGACUGAGGACUGCGACGUAAGUCAAGGAUGCUGGCAUAAUGGUUAUAUGCCGCCCGUCUUGAA
rnacentral:rRNA from 1 species